rnacentral:rRNA from 1 species
AUUCCAUGUGUAGCGGUAAAAUGUGUAAAUAUAUGGAGGAACACCAGAAGCGUAGGCGGCUUGCUGGGUCUUUACUGACGCUGAGGCACGAAAGCGUGGGUAGCAAACAGGAUUAGAUACCCUGGUAGUCCACGCCGUAAACGAUGAGUACUAAGUGUCGGGGUAAAACUCGGUACUGAAGUUAACACAUUAAGUACUCCGCCUGAGUAGUACGUACGCAAGUAUGAAACUUAAAGGAAUUGACGGGACUCCGCACAAGCGGUGGAUCAUGUUGUUUAAUUCGAAGAUACACGAAAAAUCUUACCAGGUCUUGACAUACUCUGCAAAGCUAUAGAAAUAUAGUGGAGGUUAUCAGGGAUACAGGUGGUGCAUGGUUGUCGUCAGUUCGUGUCGUGAGAUGUUAGGUUAAGUCCUAAAACGAGCGCAACCCUUGUCGUUAAUUGCCAGCACGUAAUGGUGGGGACUUUAGCGAGACUGCCAAUUAAACAUUGGAGGAAGGUGAGGAUUACGUCAAAUCAUCAUGCCCCUUAUGAUCUGGGCUACAAACGUGAUACAAUGGCUGUGACAGAGAGUAGCUGAGACGCGAGUUUUUAGCCAAUCUCAAAAAAGCAGUCUCAGUUCGGAUUGAAGUCUGUAACUCGACUUCAUGAAGUUGGAAUCGCUAGUAAUCGCGAAUCAGCAUGUCGCGGUGAAUACGUUCUCGGGGUUUGUACACGCCGCCCGUCAAACCACGAAAGUUAGCAAUACCCGAAAACAGUACCUUAACUUCCUAAGAAGAGGGAACUGUCUCAGGUAGGGUUGAUGAUUGGGGUUAAUUCGUAACAAGGUAUCCCUACCCGGAAGGGGGGGGGAUGGAUCACCC